rnacentral:rRNA from 1 species
UACGGAGGAUCCGAGCGUUAUCCGGAAUUAUUGGGCGUAAAGAGCGCGCAGGUGGUUGAUUAAGUCUGAUGUGAAAGCCCACGGCUUAACCGUGGAGGGUCAUUGGAAACUGGUCGACUUGAGUGCAGAAGAGGGAAGUGGAAUUCCAUGUGUAGCGGUGAAAUGCGUAGAGAUAUGGAGGAACACCAGUGGCGAAGGCGGCUUCCUGGUCUGUAACUGACACUGAGGCGCGAAAGCGUGGGGAGCAAACAGGAUUAGAUA